rnacentral:misc_RNA from 1 species
UUGUGUUGUGUUGUUGUGUUGUGUUGUUGUUGUGUGACGCACAUGUAGCGUGUACUGUUGUGUGACGCACAUGUAGCGUGUACUGUUGUGUUCCGGCGCGUCACAUCCACGAGCCGCCCGACCUAUCCGCGCAGCCUGCCGCACGUGCCGCACGUGCCACCCGUGCACAUGACGCCCCCGCCUCCCGGCCUGCCACAUAGUGGUCGUGUGUUGUGUUGUGUUGCGGGUGUGUGUGGAUGACAGACGCCCCCCACACAUCCCCCACCCCACACCAUGCGCUAAUGAUCCUUCCGCAGGUUCACCUACGGAAA